UACGAAGGGGGCUAGCGUUGCUCGGAAUUACUGGGCGUAAAGGGCGCGUAGGCGGACAGUUUAAUCAGAGGUGAAAGCCCAAGGGCUCAACCCUGGAAUUGCCUUUGAUACUGGCUGUCUUGAGUACGGGAGGAGGUGUGGUGGAACUCCGAGGAUGUAGGAGGUAGUGAAAUUCGUGAGAUAAUUUCGGAAGAAUCACCGAAGGUACG
rnacentral:rRNA from 1 species